UGCGUAGGUGGUCAUGUAAGUUAACUGUGAAAGCCCUGGGCUUAACCUGGGAAGGCCAGUUAAGACUGCGUGACUAGAGUAUAGGAGAGGGUAGUGGAAUUUCCGGUGUAGCGGUGAAAUGCGUAGAGAUCGGAAGGAACACCAGUGGCGAAGGCGGCUACCUGGCCUAAUACUGACACUGAGGCACGAAAGCGUGGGGAGCAAACA
rnacentral:rRNA from 1 species